CUACUCCUCAUACGUGUUAGAUGUUAGUUAUUUCAACUCAGCUGAACGAAGUUAGUAAUAUUCUAACAAUGAAAUCGAUUACUAUCGCUCUAAUAUUAAUAACCAUAAUGGGCUUUACCAUGGGCUUAAAAGAUCCCAUCUGCAGUCUCCCUCUGGCUGAGGGCCUCGUAUGCAAUAAGAGAGGCCGUGGAGGAUUUGUAUAUAAACUCAAAACGAACACCUGUGAAGAUUGGGGUCGCUGUCAGGGGGGACCUAGCAAUUAUUUCUCGGAUCUCGCUGCUUGCGAAGCAAAGUGCAAGGAAUAAGAAAAUAAUGUAUAUGUAUAUGCCUACUGUAUACCAGCCUUAUAAAAUACUAUAAGCACUUACACACAUAGCGAGUAUCCAGAUUCAAUACAAAUCAAAAGUUCGUCAUCCUGACUAUAAAGUUAGAUUCAAUCUAAUAACAAACAAAUACAUGUCAGUCUAGCUAGGAUUAUAAUAAACUGUCUUAUGUUGUAAAGAGAACUUUAAUUAGAAUUUAAGUUUUUUUUUUGCUUCCCAAGCCAAAAAUUAAAAUUUAUUUAUGUUAAAAUUA